rnacentral:sRNA from 1 species
GCCCCUUAUACGCUGGGCUACACACGUGCUACAAUGGGUAGAACAGAGAGUUGCAAAGCUGUGAAGUGGAGCUAAUCUCAGAAAACUAUUCUUAGUUCGGAUUGUACUCUGCAACUCGAGUACAUGAAGUUGGAAUCGCUAGUAAUCGCGAAUCAGCAAUGUCGCGGUGAAUACGUUCUCGGGUCUUGUACACACCGCCCGUCACACCACGAGAGUUGGUUGCACCUGAAGUAGCAGGCCUAGCCGUAAGGAGGGAUGCUCCGAGGGUGUGAUUAGCGAUUGGGGUGAAGUCGUAACAAGGUAUCCGUACGGGAACGUGCGGAUGGAUCACCUCCUUUCUAAGGAGAUAAAGUCUUUCUCUAUUCUAUUGGUAAUGUUCUUUACAUUACUUCUGAACAUUGGAAACUAUAUAGUAGAACAAACAAGAAAAAAAUUAACUCUAACAAUUUCUUAGAGUUAGCUGUCAAAAAAUAGAUUAAAAUAAUUAAGGGUACACAAAGGAUGCCUAGGUAGUAAGAGCCGAUGAAGGACGUGGUAAGCUGCGAUAAGCCUAG